AUUCCAGCUCCAAUAGCGUAUAUUAAAGUUGUUGCAGUUAAAAAGCUCGUAGUUGAAUUUUGGACCUGGCUGAAUGGUCCCGCCGCAAGGUGGGUACUGUUUGAUUGGGUCUUUCUUUGCGGGGAAUUAGUGUGCUCUUAAUUGGGUGCAUUAAGGAUCCGUAACUUUUACUUUGAAAAAAUUAGAGUGUUUAAAGCAGGCUUAGGCCUGAAUACAUUAGCAUGGAAUAAUAGAAUAGGACCUGUGUUCUAUUUUGUUGGUUUCUAGGACGUAGGUAAUGAUUAAUAGGGACAGUUGGGGGCAUUAGUAUUUAAGUGUCAGAGGUGAAAUUCUUGGAUUGCUCAAAGACUAACUUCUGCGAAAGCAUUUGGCAAGGAUGUUUUCAUCA
rnacentral:rRNA from 1 species